UAGCUAACAUGUAAGCAACUAGCCAGGUGGU
rnacentral:piRNA from 1 species